ACGCUCGACACCUACUGGAGGCAGCAGUGGGGAAUAUUGCACAAUGGGGGAAACCCUGAUGCAGCAACGCCGCGUGAAGGAAGACGGUUUUCGGAUUGUAAACUUCUGUUCUUAGUGAAGAUAGUGACGGUAGCUAAGGAGCAAGCCACGGCUAACUACGUGUCAGAGCCGCGGUAAUCUGAGCGGGCUGGCAAGGC
rnacentral:rRNA from 1 species